rnacentral:rRNA from 1 species
GAUGAACGCUGGCGGCGUGCCUAAUACAUGCAAGUCGAGCGAACAGACGAGGAGCUUGCUCCUCUGACGUUAGCGGCGGACGGGUGAGUAACACGUGGAUAACCUACCUAUAAGACUGGGAUAACUUCGGGAAACCGGAGCUAAUACCGGAUAAUAUAUUGAACCGCAUGGUUCAAUAGUGAAAGACGGUUUUGCUGUCACUUAUAGAUGGAUCCGCGCCGCAUUAGCUAGUUGGUAAGGUAACGGCUUACCAAGGCAACGAUGCGUAGCCGACCUGAGAGGGUGAUCGGCCACACUGGAACGGAGACACGGUCCAGACUCCUACGGGAGGCAGCAGUGGGGAAUCUUCCGCAAUGGGCGAAAGCCUGACGGAGCAACGCCGCGUGAGUGAUGAAGGUCUUCGGAUCGUAAAACUCUGUUAUUAGGGAAGAACAAAUGUGUAAGUAACUAUGCACGUCUUGACGGUACCUAAUCAGAAAGCCACGGCUAACUACGUG